rnacentral:rRNA from 2 species
UACGUAGGUGGCAAGCGUUGUCCGGAUUUAUUGGGUUUAAAGGGUGCGUAGGCGGUCCAUUAAGUCAGUUGUGAAAUACGGCAGCUUAACUGUCGAGGUGCAAUUGAUACUGGUGGACUUGAGUACUGAUGAGGUAGGCGGAAUGGACGGUGUAGCGGUGAAAUGCUUAGAGAUCGUCCAGAACACCGAUAGCGAAGGCAGCUUACUAAAGAGUAACUGACGCUGAGGCACGAAAGUGUGGGGAUCAAACAGG